rnacentral:misc_RNA from 1 species
GCAAACUUGGUCAUUUAGAGGAAGUAAAAGUCGUAACAAGGUUUCCGUAGGUGAACCUGCGGAAGGAUCAUCACUGGAUAGGGGGGGAGUGGCCCGAAGGGACACGACCUCUGACAUAAGCGUGUGAACUGUCGAGAGUGCAGUGGUUGGCGGGCGAGGGUUCGGGUCGCGUGAGAUUCGAGCUAUUGUGAGGGCGCGUGCCGUAAGAGUGCGUGCCCACCGCCAGCCACACGCGCAAUUCAGCGAAAUAGACUUUGAGCAUGUGUGGCAAUGGGGCAGUCGCAUGCGGCCUGCCAGUGCACACUACACAUCAUACUACACAAAUUACACACGACACCGGUCGUGUCAUAACAAUCACAACUUUCAACAAUGGAUCUCUUGGCUCUCGCAUCGAUGAAGAACGCAGC